rnacentral:RNase_P_RNA from 1 species
GACAGAGGGAGCCCGACUCCCGUGCCUCUGGCAUGAGGAAAGUCCCCCCACCGGCCGGACAGGCGACCGGGCACACGCCCGGAGUCGGAGACGGCUGGCUCUGGAACAGCAACGACACCCCCCACCCCGACCCGUGAUUCGCGCGAACCGACCCGCAAGGAAGGGAGCUAACCCGAUGAGGCGCGUGGCUUUGCCACGUUACAGACGGGUGGGAACGGAUGGAACGGCGAAUCCUCGCCGGUGCAAGUCCGCGCCACAAGGUAGUCCGGCCACGGCGCGGACGCUCAGCCGAAUGUCGGGACGAACCGAAGGGGGCUUACUCCCCUCAGUC